ensembl:snRNA U6 U6 spliceosomal RNA
AUGCUCAGUUCAUCACGUGUACUAAAAUUGGAAUGAGACAAAGAUUAGCGUGGAUUUUGUGCAAGAAUGGCACACAAAUUCAGGAAAUGUUCCAUGUUUUU